GAAAUAUUAUAUACUCCUCUGUACGCCUUGCUCCCACCCAGUUAUGAAGUCUCUAAAUACCACUGAUGCAUAUUUCUUAUAUGUACUUCCCUUUUGUCUGAUUGCACCACUGCCUUCCUAAUUUAGACUGUCAUUUCUACUGCCCAAAUGAUUAUAGUAGUAUUUCCACAGUUCAGCUUGAGUUUUGUCUCUAUCAUGUCUCUACCUGCCAAGGGACAAAUGCUUUUGGAAUCCUGAUCUGACAUGAAAAAAGUUCACCUGAAGCUGCCAUCCUGGAAGACUAUGAGAUGGAGAUGCCCAAGAAGCCCCAGGAAAUUGCCAGUGCUCUGGAUGCAAAUGGAUUUUUCCUUAGGAAUUCAGAGUUGCUGAGUUUUGCAUCAAGACUGAAAGAGGCCAAAAAGAGAAGCUGUGUGGUAGGACUGUGUGAUGACUCAUCCUACUCAAAAUUCUCUAGACUCGGUUUGUGCAAUAUUGGAUUCUACAAUGCUGAGCAAGGGAAGAAAAGUGUUUAAAGGAGAGCCACAAAUAAGAAUAUAUAGGUUGAAUAUAAACUUUAUAGAGCCUGAAUAGAUUGGAAUGGAAUAGAUGGAGGCUUCACACUCCUUCCCACAUGCAUUGUCCUAUGCAUCUCUUCAUCUGGUGUUCAUCGGUAUCCUUUGUAAUAUCCUUUAUAAUAAGCUAGUAAAUGUGAGUACAGUCAUGUGUCACUUAAUGAAGGAGAUACAUUUUGAGAACUGUGUUGUCACCAGGCGUGGUGGCUCUUGCCUGUAAUCUCAACACUUUGGCAGGCUGUGGUGAGAGACUUGCUUGAGCCCAGGAGUUUGAGACCAGCCUAGGCAAAAUAGUGAGACUCCAUCUCUAUAAUAAAUAAAUAAAAAUAAAAAAGACGAUUGCACUGUUAGGCAAUUUU